rfam:Hordeum vulgare subsp. vulgare, WGS project CAJW01000000 data, contig: morex_contig_40574
UUGUUACUCCCUCCGUCCCAAAAUUCUUGUCUUCGGUUUGUCAAGAAAUGGAUGUAUCUAAAUAUUGAAAUGUGACUAGAUACAUUUAUAACUAGACAAAUCUAAGACAAGAAUUUUGGGACGGAGGAAGUACAUA